ACGCUCGACACCUACGGAGGCAGCAGUGGGGAAUAUUGCACAAUGGGGGAAACCCUGAUGCAGCAACGCCGCGUGAGUGAAGAAGUAUUUCGGUAUGUAAAGCUCUAUCAGCAGGGAAGAUAAUGACGGUACCUGACUAAGAAGCUCCGGCUAAAUACGUGCCANNCGCGAGUAUNGNGGCGNGNGAGAG
rnacentral:rRNA from 1 species